CUGGUUGAUCCUGCCAGUAGUCAUAUGNNNGUCUCAAAGAUUAAGCCAUGCAUGUCUAAGUAUAAGCAAUUUAUACAGUGAAACUGCGAAUGGCUCAUUAAAUCAGUUAUCGUUUAUUUGAUAGUACCUUACUACUUGGAUAACCGUGGUAAUUCUAGAGCUAAUACAUGCUUAAAAUCCCGACUGUUUGGAAGGGAUGUAUUUAUUAGAUAAAAAAUCAAUGUCUUCGGACUCUUUGAUGAUUCAUAAUAACUUUUCGAAUCGCAUGGCCUUGUGCUGGCGAUGGUUCAUUCAAAUUUCUGCCCUAUCAACUUUCGAUGGUAGGAUAGUGGCCUACCAUGGUUUCAACGGGUAACGGGGAAUAAGGGUUCGAUUCCGGAGAGGGAGCCUGAGAAACGGCUACCACAUCCAAGGAAGGCAGCAGGCGCGCAAAUUACCCAAUCCCGACACGGGGAGGUAGUGACAAUAAAUAACGAUACAGGGCCCUUUCGGGUCUUGUAAUUGGAAUGAGUACAAUGUAAAUACCUUAACGAGGAACAAUUGGAGGGCAAGUCUGGU
rnacentral:rRNA from 1 species